CUCUAUAUGCCUGUUUUAAUUCUCUUCUAUGAAGUCUGGUUCUGUUUAGAUAUAAACUGAAGGUCUUAGUCACAGAUUUAUACAAGCUUUCCAGUAAAGACCCCAAAUAACAAUCCUACUACUGGCUAGCUACUUACAGGGAAAGAAGACAUUAUAUAAAAUAGAUACUUGAACAUGUAUGUUUGUUGCAUCACAAUUCACAAUUGCAAAGAUACAGAAUCAGCGUUAAGUGUCCAUCAACUGAUAAGUGAAUAAAGAAAAUGUGUUUGGUAGAGGCUUGCAUUCUAUGAAAACCUACAAGAAGAUAUCUCUUCUGAGUUUCAGUAGUUUGCUUGCCUUUAUUGGCCUUUAGUCAAUUUUCAAUUUGUGUUUUCAUGAUACAAUUAAAAAAUAUUGAAUGGCAGGAAGACAUAACUGAAAGACAAAGCUAGAAAAAUUUAGGAUGCAAAAACUCACUCUGUGACCAUAAAUGAAUGUGCACAUC
rnacentral:lncRNA from 1 species